rnacentral:rRNA from 1 species
AAAUGAAUAGACGGGGGCCCGCACAAGCGGUGGAUUAUGUGGUUUAAUUCGAAGCAACGCGCAGAACCUUACCUGGGCUUGAACUCCUACGAAUCCGUCCCAAAAGAUGGAGUGCCCUUCGGGGAAUGUAGAGAGAGGCGCUGCAUGGCUGUCGUCAGCUCGUGUCGUGAGAUGUUGGGUUAAGUCUCGCAACGAGCGCAACCCCUAUCCUUAGUUGCCAGCAUUAAGUUGGGCACUCUAGGGAGACUGCCUGGGUUAACCAGGAGGAAGGUGGGGAUGACGUCAAGUCCUCAUGGCCCUUAUGUCCAGGGCUACACACGUAAUACAAUGGUGCAUACAAAGGGAAGCGAACUCGCAAGGGGGAGCAAAUCUCAAAAAGUGCAUCUCAGUCCGGAUUGGAGUCUGCAACUCGACUCCAUGAAGUUGGAAUCGCUAGUAAUCGCGGAUCAGCACGCCGCGGUGAAUACGUUCCCGGGCCUUGUACACACCGCCCGU